AUCUAAUAUUUCAAGAAUGAAUAAUCUAGGGAGUAGUGGAGGGUCCCAGUGUGUCACUGUGCCAGGUCAGCAACAACCCUUCUUACUGCUUCCUGGAAGGCAGACUCGUCCCAUUCUUCCCCCUCAAUUAAGAUUACUCGAUUCAUGGAUCUUGAUUCUGUUGUACGUGUGUUGGCUUCUACGGACAUCACGUUCACAUUGUUAACUUGGU
rnacentral:misc_RNA from 1 species